GAAUUCGAGAAUGAUAGAAGUCAGCAGGAUUAUCGGCAAUUGUUCCAACCUGGAAAAGAUGGAUUGAAACGGGAGUAUCAAAGUGAAGACAAGAAGCACCAAUUAAGUGUUUACUCUGUACCAGGCAUGAGGGCAGCUGGAUUCACAGCUGUUUGUUAUCUCCUCCUGGGUUACUUCAAAAGCACAGUAGUGAAAAAGCCUUGAGGUGUCAAGACAAUGAGCAUUUAUUAAGCACCAAGCACUGGGGAUGUGAA